rnacentral:tRNA from 2 species
AUAAUCGUAGCUUAGAUGGUAAAGCCGCGCUGCAGCACGUGUACGUACGCGACGGUGGUUCAAAUCCACCCGAUUGUCUA